rnacentral:rRNA from 1 species
AACGAACGCUGGCGGCAUGCCUAACACAUGCAAGUCGAACGAAGGCUUUGGCCUUAGUGGCGCACGGGUGAGUAACGCGUGGGAAACUGCCUAUUGGUGGGGAAUAACGACGGGAAACUGUCGCUAAUACCGCAUAAGCCCUUCGGGGGAAAGAUUUAUCGCCGAUAGAUGUGCCCGCGUCCGAUUAGCUAGUUGGUGAGGUAAUGGCUCACCAAGGCGACGAUCGGUAGCUGGUCUGAGGGGAUGAUCAGCCACACUGGGACUGAGACACGGCCCAGACUCCUGCGGGAGGCAGCAGUGGGGAAUAUUGGACAAUGGGCGAAAGCCUGAUCCAGCAAUGCCGCGUGAGUGAUGAAGGCCUUAGGGUUGUAAAGCUCUUUCGGGUGGGACGAUGAUGACGGUACCACCAGAAGAAGCCCCGGCUAACUUCGUGCCAGCAGCCGCGGUAA